GAUGAAGAACGUAGCGAAAUGCGAUAAGUAAUGCGAAUUGCAGAAUUUCUAGUGAGUCAUCGAAUCUUUGAACGCACAUUGCGCCCUUUGGUAUUCCGAAGGGCAUGCCUGUUCGAGCGUCAUUAUCAACCCUCAAGCUCUGCUUGGUCUUGGGCCGCGCCGCGCAAGCGGCUGGCCUCGAAAACAGUGGCGGCGCCAUCUGGGCUCUCAGCGUAGUAAUUCUUCUCGCUGUUGAGCUCCGGUGGUCGCCCGCCAGCAACCCCCAACUUUUACAGUUUGACCUGGGAUGAGGUAGGGAUACCCGCUGAACUUAAGCAUAUCAAUAAGCGGAGGA
rnacentral:misc_RNA from 1 species